CACUUAUUGUUAUUACCUGUAAGUUUCUAUUAUGAUGUGGUCCUUACUUCCCUUUCUAAUCACAGCAUUAAAAUCUUCCAGUCUUUUCAACUGUGCUGAUUAACUGUGCUCCAGCCUCACUAUCCUUGUUCUCAAUUCCUUCAACACACCAGACUUGUUUCCUCCUGAGACUUUUCACUUACUCAUUGCUCAUUUGCUAUGAUUGGCUCCUCAUCAUCCUGAUCUUUGUUUAAAUACCAUUCCUGCAGAGAAGCGUUCUGUGAUAAGGUCAGUUAAAGUAGACUGUGAUAGUCAUUGCCCUUCACCAAUAUUUCUGGCUCUCCUCCUGCCAAGCAUGCAGUAAGAUUCCGUUUCCCUACCUCCUUAAAUUUAGUCAUGGCCAUGUGACUUACUUUGGCCAAUGACAUGUUAGAGCAUAUGACCUGACGCUGCUAAGCGGAAGCCUUUAGAAGCUGGUAUAUAAUUUGCCACAUGUCCUUACCCUUGUCACUAAAAUUGUUGACAUUCAACAGUGAAGCCUCCCUCAUUCUGCAUCUCUGAGAGAGGACAUAGACCUGAGCCCCACACUGAAUUGUGAUGGACGUGUCCUAACUAUGAACAUUUUCCUUCUGUGUGGAUGAAAAACAACCAUGAUUAGUUGAAGUGAAGAUUAACUCAGAUAAUGCACUUUCAAUCCAGGACCUGGCUCAGAGUGAAACUAAACACAAGGCAAUUGUUGUCUUACUGAGAGCGAUGGCACAUACCUGAAAGGAGUGAGGAGAUGAGUCACCAACCGACUCUGUGACCAAAAAAAUCAUAGAGGAAAUUCAGAAACAGAAGCUGGAUUAAGAGAACUGAAACAAUCAUCAAAGAAAUAAAGAUACACGUGUUUAUUUUUCAUGGGCCAGGACAUUAUGUGUUUAGUUGCCUCAAUUUUGCUGUUUUAUUUCACAGAUUUGUUUGGAAGAAAAUAGUGCCUUCAAAAUUAGGUGGUGAUUAUUAGAGAUUAUUGAUAAAUAGCUUGAAUGAUCACGAAAGCAUGAUCUCUCAAGAGAUAGAAAGUUUAAAGGUUGUUUAUUCCUGAUACCCACCCAUUAAAUAUGCU
rnacentral:lncRNA from 1 species